rnacentral:rRNA from 1 species
AACGUAGGAGACAAACGUUAUCCGGAGUUACUGGGCGUAAAGGGCGUGUAGGUGGUUACGUAAGUCUGGCGUGAAAUUUUUCGGCUUAACCGGGAAAGGUCGUCGGGUACUGCGGGACUAGAGGACGGUAGAGGCGUGUGGAAUUCCGGGUGUAGUGGUGAAAUGCGUAGAGAUCCGGAGGAACACCAGUGGCGAAGGCGACACGCUGGGCCGUACCUGACACUGAUGCGCGACAGCAUGGGGAGCAAACAGG